rnacentral:rRNA from 1 species
UCGAGGCGUAAAGAGUGGUUAGAGUAAUGUGUGAGCGUGGAAGCCGAACCCCCUCGUUGCUGUUAUACGUCUCGAGAGCAUGAAGAUCGUUUACGAAAGUAGCUUUAACGGGUUUGACCCCACGAAAGCUGNGAAACAAACUGGGAUUAGAUACCCCACUAUGCAUAGCCCUAAACUUUGGUAUUAAAUUACCACAACCGUCCGCCCGGGUACUACGAGCAUUAGCUUAAAACCCAAAGGACUUGGCGGUGCUUUAAGAUCCCCUAGAGGAGCCUGUUCUAGAACCGAUAAUCCCCGUUCAACCUCACCCUUUCUUGUUUAUCCCGCCUAUAUACCGCCGUCGUCAGCUUACCCUGUGAAGGUCUAAUAGUAAGCAUAAACGGUU